GUACUGGCCUUGUGGCCUCGCUCCUCUCUCCCUCCUCUCGUCGAUCCCUAUCCACUCCAAAGAAAAGGAAAAUAACCCCAUCGGCACCUGGUUCUUCAUCCACACGCAUCAUUUCGCCAGAUUUGCUAUCGGCGAAGGUGGCCGGGUGAGUGCGUGAACGCGCUUGAUGCGGUCUUCAGGGUGCAGAUGCUCGCCCACCUCGGCGAGUCCGGCGGCGAGGCCAUCAAGAGGUCCGGCGGCUAGCGACGGUGGUGGAUGUGCUGGAGGUUGGUGGCGUUGAGGGGGCAGUAAGGAAGCUCACGGAGAAGGGUGUGGAUUUCCUAGAUGAGUUCAUGCAAUGGAUAAUGGUCGGAUCUGAGGAGCGGGGUAGAGACUUGCACUGCGGCUAUGCUUCAUGAGAGCUAUGGGGUUAUGUAGACAAAUGUGAGAUCGUGCCAUAAGCAAAUGACAUCAAGAUCUGAGCACCGUUGCAGACGGCCUCGAGUUAUUUUCCUCUUCAUCUCCUACAAAAUGUUGCUUGCAUGGUCAAUUUGGGCAUCGGUUUGUUAAGCAGCAAAAGCUCGCAUGUUGAAUCUACUCAACUCAAGUAUUGAGAGUCUGGUUUUCCUCAAAAAGUGGCGAUUUCAUAUCUUAGAAGAAGUCUCGCAUUAGUUCAAAUUUGAACUAAAACCAUCACACUUAUUUUGGAUCGAGGAGUAUGAAUUUGGUAUUGAUUCUUGUGUUGAGUUCCUGCACAUUUGGAGCAAAUGGAGUAUAAUAAUUAUCUUAGAUUGGUGAAUAAAGAUGAGUCAAGAUAAAUUAGCUGAGAAAUAAUAAAAGUUGGUCUUUCAUACCUGUCAACAAUUUCCC
rnacentral:rRNA from 1 species